AGUGAACGCUGGCGGUAGGCCUAACACAUGCAAGUCGAACGGCAGCACAGUAAGAGCUUGCUCUUACGGGUGGCGAGUGGCGGACGGGUGAGGAAUACAUCGGAAUCUACUUUUUCGUGGGGGAUAACGUAGGGAAACUUACGCUAAUACCGCAUACGACCUACGGGUGAAAGCAGGGGAUCUUCGGACCUUGCGCGAUUGAAUGAGCCGAUGUCGGAUUAGCUAGUUGGCGGGGUAAAGGCCCACCAAGGCGACGAUCCGUAGCUGGUCUGAGAGGAUGAUCAGCCACACUGGAACUGAGACACGGCCCAGACUCCUAGGGGAGGCAGCAGUGGGGAAUAUUGGACAAGGGGCGCAAGCCUGAUCCAGCCAUACCGCGUGGGUGAAGAAGGCCUUCGGGUUGUAAAGCCCUUUUGUUGGGAAAGAAAAGCAGCAGGUUAAGACCCCGCUGUUCUGACGGUACCCAAAGAAUAAGCACGGGCUAACUUCGU
rnacentral:rRNA from 1 species